rnacentral:rRNA from 1 species
AUAUUGGACAAUGGGCGCAAGCCUGAUCCAGCCAUGCCGCGUGAGUGAUGAAGGCCUUAGGGUUGUAAAGCUCUUUCGCACGCGACGAUAAUGACGGUAGCGUGAGAAGAAGCCCCGGCUAACUUCGUGCCAGCAGCCGCGGUAAUACGAAGGGGGCUAGCGUUGUUCGGAUUAACUGGGCGUAAAGGGUGCGUAGGCGGGUUUUUAAGUCAGGGGUGAAAUCCCAAGGCUCAACCUUGGAACUGCCUUUGAUACUGGGAAUCUUGAGUCCGGGAGAGGUGAGUGGAACUGCGAGUGUAGAGGUGAAAUUCGUAGAUAUUCGCAAGAACACCGGUGGCGAAGGCGGCUCACUGGCCCGGAACUGACGCUGAGGCACGAAAGCGUGGGGAGCAAA